UAUUGUAGAGGAAAUGCUGCCCUUAAACACGAUUGACUCACUCUCUUUCAUGCCAUAAUAAACAAGAUCCCCACUACUGUCAAUGCUGAGCUGCCUCACAAUAAACCGGUUGUCAUUUUAUGUUGAGGCUGUGGGGAUGUUG